CCAUAUAGAGUGAGAGUUGCGACAACUCCAUUGACUCCAAUGGAACGCUUUUUUUACAGCAAUGGCGGCUCGUGGAGCCUCUCAAUAGUUCCUGGAAGUAGCAGCAAACCGAUGCCGCGCCGUAGAGAUGCAGCAGAACAAACCGUUUGCGACGCACUUUUAACAGACCCAGGUAACUGGCUGAUGGUUCACUGGAAUGCUGACUGGCUGCUGACUGACUUGCUGCUGGUUGACUGGGCAGUGUCACCUGUCCCUGUCUCUCCUCUCUAGCCAUGUCCUUUUUCUUCACUCUCACUUUCCCUUCUCUGAGUGUCCUCGUUCUUUUUUCCUCAACCUUUGAAACUGAUAGAGGUCUAGGGGUGCAUCGUGGAGCAGGGCCUCCUCUUUUUGACCACAGGACGAUGUACAAAGAUUGUGGGAAUAGCAUCUGGUCUCAGCCUACUCUUGAAUUUUUUGGUCAUGACAAAUUGCAUUGCCGCAAUUUGUCUGCAUACUGACUUCAGUUUAGUUUCCACACACACCUUUUUUUUGUCUACCCACAUACAGUACAUACACAUGGUGGUUAAAUGCACAGUUAUAGGUAACACUGAUGACUCCCUGCAAUGUCUCACCAUGAGUCUCCGCUCCCUGGGUUUUGCAAGGCUUUGCUUGUUCCUUAUUUCUAGUAAAACAUUGUCAAUGUAAAAAAGUGCAAAUAAAUGUAAGUAUAAUUACCUA